rnacentral:rRNA from 1 species
UACGGAGGGUGCAAGCGUUAAUCGGAAUUACUGGGCGUAAAGCGUGCGUAGGCGGUUCGUUAAGUCUGUUGUGAAAGCCCCGGGCUCAACCUGGGAAUGGCAAUGGAUACUGGCGAGCUAGAGUAUGUCAGAGGAUGGUGGAAUUCCCGGUGUAGCGGUGAAAUGCGUAGAGAUCGGGAGGAACAUCAGUGGCGAAAGCGGCUUCCUGGUCCAGUACCGACGUUCAGGCACGAAAGCGUGGGGAGCAAACAGG